rnacentral:rRNA from 1 species
UACGAAGGGGGCGAGCGUUGUUCGGAUUUACUGGGCGUAAAGGGCGCGCAGGCGGCUUAUUUUGUCAGGCGUGAAAGCCCCGGGCUUAACCUGGGAACUGCGUUUGAUACGGAUGGGCUAGAGUUCGGGAGAGGAGAGUGGAAUUCCCAGUGUAGAGGUGCAAUUCGUAGAUAUUAGGAAGAACACCAGUGGCGAAGGCGGCUCACUGGCUCGGUACUGACGCUGAGGCGCGAAAGCGUGGGGAGCAAACAGG